CAGGCCUAACACAUGCAAGUCGAGCGGUAACAGAUCCAGCUUGCUGGAUGCUGACGAGCGGCGGACGGGUGAGUAACGCAUAGGAAUUUACUCGAUAGUGGGGGAUAACCUGGGGAAACCCAGGCUAAUACCGCAUACGUCCUACGGGAGAAAGGGGGCCUUGGCUCCCGCUAUCGGAUGAGCCUAUGCCGGAUUAGCUGGUUGGUGAGGUAAUGGCUCACCAAGGCGACGAUCCGUAGCUGGUCUGAGAGGAUGAUCAGCCACAUCGGGACUGAGACACGGCCCGAACUCCUACGGGAGGCAGCAGUGGGGAAUAUUGGACAAUGGGGGCAACCCUGAUCCAGCCAUGCCGCGUGUGUGAAGAAAGCCCUCGGGUUGUAAAGCACUUUCAGCGAGGAAGAACGCCUGGCGGUUAAUACCCGCCAGGAAAGACAUCACUCGCAGAAGAAGCACCGGCUAACUCCGUGCCAGCAGCCGCGGUAAUACGGAGGGUACAAGCGUUAAUCGGAAUUACUGGGCGUAAAGCGCGCGUAGGUGGCUUGAUAAGCCGGUUGUGAAAGCCCCGGGCUCAACCUGGGAACGGCAUCCGGAACUGUCAGGCUAGAGUGCAGGAGAGGAAGGUAGAAUUCCCGGUGUAGCGGUGAAAUGCGUAGAGAUCGGGAGGAAUACCAGUGGCGAAGGCGGCCUUCUGGACUGACACUGACACUGAGGUGCGAAAGCGUGGGUAGCAAACAGGAUUAGAUACCCUGGUAGUCCACGCCGUAAACGAUGUCGACCAGCCGUUGGGUGCCUAGCGCACUUUGUGGCGAAGUUAACGCGAUAAGUCGACCGCCUGGGGAGUCGGCCGCAAGGUUAAAAC
rnacentral:rRNA from 1 species